rnacentral:rRNA from 1 species
AGAGAGUGCAAGCGUUAAUCGGAAUAACUGGGCGUAAAGCGCGCGUAGGUGGAUAUUUUAGUCGGAUGUGAAAGCCCUGGGCUUAACCUAGGAAUUGCACCCGAUACUGGAUGUCUAGAGUAUGGUAGAGGGAAGUGGAAUUUCCGGUGUAGCGGUGAAAUGCGUAGAUAUCGGAAAGAACACCAGUGGCGAAGGCGGCUUCCUGGACCAAUACUGACACUGAGGUGCGAAAGCGUGGGGAGCAAACAGGGAUUAGAGACCCUGGUAGUCCACGCCGUCAACGAUGAGAACUAGACGCUGGGGGGGUAUCCUCUUAGUGUCGAAGCUAACGCGUUAAGUUCUCCGCCUGGGGAGUACGGCCGCAAGGUUA